GUUGUUUCUUGGCCUUUUGUUUGAGAUCAAGUGUAGUGUUUGUUUUUAUCACUUUAAUAUCGGAUAUAUUUUUUUUAACUGAAAAUGUUAUUAUUAAAUCGAUUUUUAGACUAGAGAGCUGGAGUUGGGGUUUGCUCCUUCUGCUCAAUCUGGUAUUAUAGUAUCUCUGUAGUUUGAAUUAUGGGGGUUACU